CCUACGGGGGGCAGCAGUGAGGAAUAUUGGUCAAUGGACGAGAGUCUGAACCAGCAAAGUCGCGUGAAGGAUGACUGCCCUAUGUGUUGUAAACUUCUUUUAUAUGGGAAUAAAACAGGGUAUGCAUACCCUCUUGUAUGUACCAUAUGAAUAAGGAUCGGCUAACUCCGUGCCAGCAGCCGCGGUAAUACGGAGGAUCCGAGCGUUAUCCGGAUUUAUUGGGUUUAAAGGGAGCGUAGGUGGAUUGUUAAGUCAGUUGUGAAAGUUUGCGGCUCAACCGGAAAAUUGCAGUUGAAACUGGCAGUCUUGAGUACAGUAGAGGUAGGCGGAAUGCGUGGUGUAGCGGUGAAAUGCUUAGAUAUCACGAAGAACUCCGAUUGCGAAGGCAGCUUACUGGACUGCAACUGACACUGAUGCUCGAAAGUGUGGGUAUCAAACAGGAUUAGAUACCCUGGUAGUC
rnacentral:rRNA from 1 species